CCCCUCCCGUCUUCACCGACACAUGACGGCAGCAGCGAGCGGCUUCCGGAGCCGCUCCGCCCCCCCCACCUCCACCACCUGCAGUACCGCCGUUCGGACGCACGGUGGCAGCACACGCUCCCUUUUUCGGUGCCGCAGGGGAAACGGGCUCCGGAGCUGCUGCUCCGCGCCCGGCUUCAGUCCUCCGUGGAAUGCUCCUCGGAGCGGUGCUUUUGGUUUUGCAAACGCCGCAGGCAUCACCUGCACACACAGAGCUCCUGCCCUCGCUUGGCCACCUGAAAUUCAGAGGGAGCUCUGCACACGGCCUCUCCGGUGCCCGAUCUCUGGAUCUCUCUCUAAGAGAUGGGGCUGUUCUCUGGAUAAAGCACGCCGGGGUUUGCUCUGUUGAAGAGCCCUUUUCUCCCUGGAUCUCCUCCUGGGCUGCAGCCAUCAGCCAAAACGGAAAGCACUGCUCAUCCUACCUCUUUUACCCCAGCUUUGGAGUCUUGCGGCGUUUUUGUGCUGUUGUGCUGGGAUGUUUGCCGUAAUGGAAUCAGCUGAGUGCGGAGCAUCAGGACCUCUCAAGGCUUCCCACCUCGUUGCUGCUCUCGUCUGCGUGCGAUCAUCCAGGGUGAGACCAGGGGACAUACUAGGAAGACUGCUUGGGAUGCCUUCCGUCUUCUCCCUGCGUACCAGGAACUCUGUCAUCUGACGCUCCUCCAGAUGGACCUCCUUUCCAGCUGAACUCAAUCACCACUGCACUGAUUUCAGGCCUUGUCCACCUAGGAGUCACAAACGUUUUCUUUUUCGUAUGUUCCUUAACUCUUCUGUGCAGAAAGUGGCAUGACAGUUCAGUCUUGAGUGGCAUCUGAAACGCAGGUUUCAGCUGAAACCGGUGAUUUACUUGCACUUUUUCUGUGGGGCUUUCUUGUCCAUGAAAUAUGAUUCCAUUAAAAAAUGUUGACACAA